rnacentral:tRNA from 1 species
GUCCGCGUAGCUCAACUGGACAGAGCACCGGUCUCCUACACCGGAACGUGCGGGUUCAACUCCCGCCGCGGACACCA